GCAUUGGUAUUUCAGUGGUAGAAUUCUCACCUUCCGUGUGGGAGACCUGGGUUCCAUUCCCAGCCAAUGCU
rnacentral:tRNA from 1 species